UGGGGAAUAUUGGACAAUGGGGGGAACCCUGAUCCAGCCAUGCCGCGUGUGUGAAGAAGGCCUUAUGGUUGUAAAGCACUUUAAGCGAGGAGGAGGGUACUGGUAUUAAUACUACCAGCUACUGGACGUUACUCGCAGAAUAAGCACCGGCUAACUCUGUGCCAGCAGCCGCGGUAAUACAGAGGGUGCGAGCGUUAAUCGGAUUUACUGGGCGUAAAGCGUGCGUAGGCGGCUAAUUGAGUCGGAUGUGAAAUCCCCGAGCUUAACUUGGGAAUUGCAUUCGAUACUGGUCAGCUAGAGUAUGGGAGAGGAUGGUAGAAUUCCAGGUGUAGCGGUAAAAUGCGUAGAGAUCUGGAGGAAUACCGAUGGCGAAGGCAGCCAUCUGGCCUAAUACUGACGCUGAGGUACGAAAGCAUGGGGAGCAAACAGG
rnacentral:rRNA from 1 species